rnacentral:rRNA from 1 species
UUAAUGAUUGCUCUUCGUGUCUUCUGUCAGACUCCCACCCGUGUCUACCACACUAGUGUUGCUUUGGCGGGACACUCCUCCGGUGUCCCGCCGGGGGAGUCGCCCGGGGCGCGGUGUGCCACCGGGACCCGUGCCCGCUAAAGGCACUCACUGUGAACCUUUUGUGAAUGCGAGGAUUGUCUGAGUGAAGAAAUGCAAUCAUUCAAAACUUUCAAGAAUGUAUCUCUUGUUUCCGGCAUCUAUGAACAACGCAGCGAAAUGCCAUAAGUAAUGUGUAUUGCUAAUUCCGUGAAUCAUCUAAUCUUUCAACGAUUAUUGCGCCCUCUGGUAUUCCGGGGGGCAUGCCUGUCCGAACGUCAUUGCCAACCCUCACGAUCGGCUUGUGUGUUGGGCCGCCCUCCCCUCGUUUGGAGGGGACGGGCCUGAAAGGCCGCGGCGGCGUCCCGUCCGGUCCUCGAGCGUAUGGGGCUCUGUCACGCUCUCAAGGAGGGGUCCGGCCGGGGCCAUAGCCUCUGAAGGUCAAUUCUUCAAACGUUGACCUCAGAUCAAGUAGGAGUACCCGCUGAACUUAAGCAUAUCAAUAAGCGGAGGAAU